GGGUUGUGAGGUUAAGCGACUAAGCGUACACGGUGGAUGCCCUGGCAGUCAGAGGCGAUGAAGGACGUGCUAAUCUGCGAUAAGCGUCGGUAAGGUGAUAUGAACCGUUAUAACCGGCGAUUUCCGAAUGGGGAAACCCAGUGUGUUUCGACACACUAUCAUUAACUGAAUCCAUAGGUUAAUGAGGCGAACCGGGGGAACUGAAACAUCUAAGUACCCCGAGGAAAAGAAAUCAACCGAGAUUCCCCCAGUAGCGGCGAGCGAACGGGGAGCAGCCCAGAGCCUGAAUCAGUGUGUGUGUUAGUGGAAGCGUCUGGAAAGGCGCGCGAUACAGGGUGACAGCCCCGUACACAAAAAUGCACAUGCUGUGAGCUCGAUGAGUAGGGCGGGACACGUGGUAUCCUGUCUGAAUAUGGGGACCAUCCUCCAAGGCUAAAUACUCCUGACUGACCGAUAGUGAACCAGUACCGUGAGGGAAAGGCGAAAAGAACCCCGGCGAGGGGAGUGAAAAAGAACCUGAAACCGUGUACGUACAAGCAGUGGGAGCACGCUUAGGCGUGUGACUGCGUACCUUUUGUAUAAUGGGUCAGCGACUUAUAUUCUGUAGCAAGGUUAACCGAAUAGGGGAGCCGAAGGGAAACCGAGUCUUAACUGGGCGUUAAGUUGCAGGGUAUAGACCCGAAACCCGGUGAUCAGCCAUGGGCAGGUUGAAGGUUGGGUAACACUAACUGGAGGACCGAACCGACUAAUGUUGAAAAAUUAGCGGAUGACUUGUGGCUGGGGGUGAAAGGCCAAUCAAACCGGGAGAUAGCUGGUUCUCCCCGAAAGCUAUUUAGGUAGCGCCUCGUGAAUUCAUCUCCGGGGGUAGAGCACUGUUUCGGCAAGGGGGUCAUCCCGACUUACCAACCCGAUGCAAACUGCGAAUACCGGAGAAUGUUAUCACGGGAGACACACGGCGGGUGCUAACGUCCGUCGUGAAGAGGGAAACAACCCAGACCGCCAGCUAAGGUCCCAAAGUCAUGGUUAAGUGGGAAACGAUGUGGGAAGGCCCAGACAGCCAGGAUGUUGGCUUAGAAGCAGCCAUCAUUUAAAGAAAGCGUAAUAGCUCACUGGUCGAGUCGGCCUGCGCGGAAGAUGUAACGGGGCUAAACCAUGCACCGAAGCUGCGGCAGCGACGCUUAUGCGUUGUUGGGUAGGGGAGCGUUCUGUAAGCCUGCGAAGGUGUGCUGUGAGGCAUGCUGGAGGUAUCAGAAGUGCGAAUGCUGACAUAAGUAACGAUAAAGCGGGUGAAAAGCCCGCUCGCCGGAAGACCAAGGGUUCCUGUCCAACGUUAAUCGGGGCAGGGUGAGUCGACCCCUAAGGCGAGGCCGAAAGGCGUAGUCGAUGGGAAACAGGUUAAUAUUCCUGUACUUGGUGUUACUGCGAAGGGGGGACGGAGAAGGCUAUGUUGGCCGGGCGACGGUUGUCCCGGUUUAAGCGUGUAGGCUGGUUUUCCAGGCAAAUCCGGAAAAUCAAGGCUGAGGCGUGAUGACGAGGCACUACGGUGCUGAAGCAACAAAUGCCCUGCUUCCAGGAAAAGCCUCUAAGCAUCAGGUAACAUCAAAUCGUACCCCAAACCGACACAGGUGGUCAGGUAGAGAAUACCAAGGCGCUUGAGAGAACUCGGGUGAAGGAACUAGGCAAAAUGGUGCCGUAACUUCGGGAGAAGGCACGCUGAUAUGUAGGUGAAGCGACUUGCUCGUGGAGCUGAAAUCAGUCGAAGAUACCAGCUGGCUGCAACUGUUUAUUAAAAACACAGCACUGUGCAAACACGAAAGUGGACGUAUACGGUGUGACGCCUGCCCGGUGCCGGAAGGUUAAUUGAUGGGGUUAGCGCAAGCGAAGCUCUUGAUCGAAGCCCCGGUAAACGGCGGCCGUAACUAUAACGGUCCUAAGGUAGCGAAAUUCCUUGUCGGGUAAGUUCCGACCUGCACGAAUGGCGUAAUGAUGGCCAGGCUGUCUCCACCCGAGACUCAGUGAAAUUGAACUCGCUGUGAAGAUGCAGUGUACCCGCGGCAAGACGGAAAGACCCCGUGAACCUUUACUAUAGCUUGACACUGAACAUUGAGCCUUGAUGUGUAGGAUAGGUGGGAGGCUUAGAAGUGUGGACGCCAGUCUGCAUGGAGCCGACCUUGAAAUACCACCCUUUAAUGUUUGAUGUUCUAACGUUGACCCGUAAUCCGGGUUGCGGACAGUGUCUGGUGGGUAGUUUGACUGGGGCGGUCUCCUCCUAAAGAGUAACGGAGGAGCACGAAGGUUGGCUAAUCCUGGUCGGACAUCAGGAGGUUAGUGCAAUGGCAUAAGCCAGCUUGACUGCGAGCGUGACGGCGCGAGCAGGUGCGAAAGCAGGUCAUAGUGAUCCGGUGGUUCUGAAUGGAAGGGCCAUCGCUCAACGGAUAAAAGGUACUCCGGGGAUAACAGGCUGAUACCGCCCAAGAGUUCAUAUCGACGGCGGUGUUUGGCACCUCGAUGUCGGCUCAUCACAUCCUGGGGCUGAAGUAGGUCCCAAGGGUAUGGCUGUUCGCCAUUUAAAGUGGUACGCGAGCUGGGUUUAGAACGUCGUGAGACAGUUCGGUCCCUAUCUGCCGUGGGCGCUGGAGAACUGAGGGGGGCUGCUCCUAGUACGAGAGGACCGGAGUGGACGCAUCACUGGUGUUCGGGUUGUCAUGCCAAUGGCACUGCCCGGUAGCUAAAUGCGGAAGAGAUAAGUGCUGAAAGCAUCUAAGCACGAAACUUGCCCCGAGAUGAGUUCUCCCUGACCCUUUAAGGGUCCUGAAGGAACGUUGAAGACGACGACGUUGAUAGGCCGGGUGUGUAAGCGCAGCGAUGCGUUGAGCUAACCGGUACUAAUGAACCGUGAGGCUUAACCUUACAACGCCGAAGCUGUU
rnacentral:rRNA from 1 species